rnacentral:rRNA from 1 species
UGGUCUGAGAGGAUGAUCAGCCACACUGGAACUGAGACACGGUCCAGACUCUACGGGAGGCAGCAGUGGGGAAUAUUGCGCAAUGGGGGAAACCCUGAGCCAGCAACGCCGCGUGAGUGAGGAAGGCUUCGGGUUGUAAAGCUCUGUCAGAUGGGAAGAAUGGUUAUUGGUCUAAUAGGCCUUUAAUUU